rnacentral:rRNA from 1 species
CAGCAGCCGCGGGAAUACAGAGGGUGCGAGCGUUAAUCGGAUUUACUGGGCGUAAAGCGUGCGUAGGCGGCUUCUUAAGUCGGAUGUGAAAUCCCUGAGCUUAACUUAGGAAUUGCAUUCGAUACUGGGAAGCUAGAGUAUGGGAGAGGAUGGUAGAAUUCCAGGUGUAGCGGCGAAAUGCGUAGAGAUCUGGAGGAAUACCGAUGGCGAAGGCAGCCAUCUGGCCUAAUACUGACGCUGAGGUACGAAAGCAUGGGGAGCAAACAGGAUUAGAUACCCGCGUAGUCCCUGUCUCUUAUAC